GACGAACGCUGGCGGCGUGCCUAAUACAUGCAAGUAGAACGCUGAAGAGAGGAGCUUGCUCUUCUUGGAUGAGUUGCGAACGGGUGAGUAACGCGUAGGUAACCUGCCUUGUAGCGGGGGAUAACUAUUGGAAACGAUAGCUAAUCCCGCAUAACAAUAGGUGACACAUGUCAUUUAUUUGAAAGGGGCAAUUGCUCCACUACAAGAUGGCCCUGCGUUGUAUUAGCUAGUAGGUGAGGUAACGGCUCACCUAGGCGACGAUACAUAGCCGACCUGAGAGGGUGAUCGGCCACACUGGGACUGAGACACGGCCCAGACUCCUACGGGAGGCAGCAGUAGGGAAUCUUCGGCAAUGGGGGCAACCCUGACCGAGCAACGCCGCGUGAGUGAAGAAGGUUUUCGGAUCGUAAAGCUCUGUUGUAAGUCAAGAACGAGUGUGAGAGUGGAAAGUUCACACUGUGACGGUAGCUUACCAGAAAGGGACGGCUAACUACGUG
rnacentral:rRNA from 1 species